rnacentral:rRNA from 1 species
AGAGUUUGAUCCUGGCUCAGGAUGAACGCUGGCGGCGUGCCUAAUACAUGCAAGUCGAACGAGGUGCUUUUGUAGCAAUACGAGAGUAUCCUAGUGGCGAACGGGUGAGUAACGCGUUGGUGACCUACCCCAAAGUGUGGGAUAACAGUCCGAAAGGACUGCUAAUACCGCAUGUGGUCAUUGGGUUUAGAAACCGGUGACUAAAGGAGCAAUUCGCUUUGGGAGGGACCUGCGUCCCAUCAGCUAGUUGGUGAGGUAAUGGCUCACCAAGGCGACGACGGGUAGGGGACCUGAGAGGGUGGCCCCCCACAAUGGAACUGAAACACGGUCCAUACACCUACGGGUGGCAGCAGUAGGGAAUAUUGCUCAAUGGGCGAGAGCCUGAAGCAGCAACGCCGCGUGUGCGAUGAAGGCCUUCGGGUCGUAAAGCACUUUUCUGAGAGAUGAGAAAGGACAGUAUCUCAGGAAUAAGUCUCGGCUAACUACGUGCCAGCCGCCGCGGUAAUAC